UAUUACUGGAAAGUUGAUCAAAUUUGGUCAUUUAGAGGAAGUAAAAGUCGUAACAAGGUUUUCCGUAGGUGAACCUGCGGAAGGAUCAUUA
rnacentral:rRNA from 1 species